rnacentral:rRNA from 1 species
UACGUAGGGUGCGAGCGUUAAUCGGAAUUACUGGGCGUAAAGCGUGCGCAGGCGGUUAUUUAAGCCAGACGUGAAAGCCCCGGGCUUAACCUGGGAAUGGCGUUUGGGACUGGAUAGCUGGAGUACGGCAGAGGGAGGUGGAAUUCCACGUGUAGCAGUGAAAUGCGUAGAGAUGUGGAGGAACACCGAUGGCGAAGGCAGCCUCCUGGGCCAGUACUGACGCUCAUGCACGAAAGCGUGGGGAGCAAACAGG